ensembl:lncRNA
CCUCUCAAACUCUUGCCCUCUCCAGAUCUCAACUGUCCCAAAAACCUGGAGUCCUCCCCUUGUUCCAGUCCCUGCAGGAGCCCUCUCCUACAGAAAGUCAAGGUAUUGCUUUACCAUUACAGUUAGUGUUUCCAGUGCUAUUAAUUGUGUUUCCUGGAAUAGGGACAAGUUAAAUAAUCCAUUAACGUGAGGGGUGAGGGUGCGGAAUUCAAUCUACUUAAAACAAAAACCUGACAUAACCGUGUGAUGGGAAACUUGUACAGCUGACCCAUGCUGGAGCAGGGCUAGAUGGGAACAUUUCCAGUCCCUGGAGCCAUGCCAAUCCUGAAUUGUCCAGUUUCCCAAAUCACAAAAUGAUCUCAUCUUGGGCUGGAUUUGUGACAGAGAGUAUCAGGAAAUACUCUGGUGUGAAACCUCCACUCAGGAGGUCUGUGCAGCUCUUCAGGCAACACACAAAUAGUAUCACCCCAGAUGACAGCUCUAAGUGCUCUAUCUGUAGAGAUGUACUAAUGUACUACUCCCUGCAAAGUUUUUCACCUUCACAGAGAUGUGCUUUUUCAACAUUUUGUCAAUGAACAGAGUUUGCAAACCACCUCCUAAAUACCUGCAGCCCUAUUCAGAUGGCAAGAAAGCCAACCUCCAUUUUCUCUGGCUGGAGGCUGACACUCCUGUGUUGUCACAGGGACUUCACAAUAGUGCAUUAUUAGUGCAUGUGUGAUGUUCACCCUGCCAGAAUCCUCCUAUGCCCUACUGUUGAAGGCAUCGGUCACCUCCAGCAGAACGGGGAGGCUGUCACUGCGAGUUGUCACCACCCUGAGGUGCUGCAGGGAUGGGAAGGAUGUGCAUCCAAACCCUGUUGUACAAGACUGAAUCCUGGACCAACUGAUGAGGAAGGACCCGAUCAGGUCCUCACCAAGGGCUUGAUGGAGGUGCACCACCACCAAGGUGAGUUACGGGCAGUGCUCCAGGAUUCUGUGAUUUUACAGAGCCAAGCACUGACCCCUCCAGCUGUGGCAUUCUCACAGACAAGACGAUGGCUAUCAUUGCUUCGAAAGACUGAAAAAAUAGCAUCUGGGUUGCAACGCAUGGACCGAAAGGAUGAUUUCCUCCUGCUCCCUGUGGUUACAAUGAGACCCCAACACAGGAGAGUUGAUUACCCCAACAUUUACUCAUUGCAAUGAUUACUGAUUGCAAAUUGUAGCAGAAUAUGAGCUGCAUGCGUUCAACUUUCUAAUUUCUUAUUCUGCACCAUGGCUGUCACCUAACAAAAAUAUCCAGUCUCAUUUCGUAUUCAUUUGUGGCCAUCAGCUCACUGCCCAAGGCCUUGUGCAGGCACCACGCGCUGAGCUCAGCCACCCAGACAUUUGUCACGUUGGAGAGCUCAGGACAGUUUGAGCCCACGCUAAAGUGGUCCGUGUCUGCUCAGUUUGGCCCUGGGUCUGAAUUUCAAAGAUAAAUAUCUUUACAUUAUUUUUGUGACCACCAAGUCUGCUUCAUGCUGUCAGAGACACACAAGUUUUACACUUCAGGGUGGAAAAUCACAUCCUCCCCCACGUGACAUGUUACUUUUGGCCUGGAAA